rnacentral:rRNA from 1 species
GUUAAGCGACUAAGCGUACACGGUGGAUGCCCUGGCAGUCAGAGGCGAUGAAGGACGUGCUAAUCUGCGAUAAGCGUCGGUAAGGUGAUAUGAACCGUUAUAACCGGCGAUUUCCGAAUGGGGAAACCCAGUGUGUUUCGACACACUAUCAUUAACUGAAUCCAUAGGUUAAUGAGGCGAACCGGGGGAACUGAAACAUCUAAGUACCCCGAGGAAAAGAAAUCAACCGAGAUUCCCCCAGUAGCGGCGAGCGAACGGGGAGCAGCCCAGAGCCUGAAUCAGUGUGUGUGUUAGUGGAAGCGUCUGGAAAGGCGCGCGAUACAGGGUGACAGCC